rnacentral:rRNA from 12 species
CCAGGAGGUUGGCUUAGAAGCAGCCAUCCUUUAAAGAAAGCGUAAUAGCUCACUAGUCGAGUCGGCCUGCGCGGAAGAUGUACCGGGGCUUAAGCCAUAUACCGAAGCUAUGGAUGCCGUACUUUGUACGGCAUGGUAGAGGAGCGUUGUGUAAGUCUGUGAAGGUGAGUUGAGAAGCUUGCUGGAGAUAUCACAAGUGCGAAUGCUGACAUGAGUAACGAUAAAGGGGGUGAGAGGCCCCCUCGCCGAAAAUCCAAGGUUUCCUGCUCAACGCUAAUCGGAGCAGGGUGAGUCGGUCCCUAAGGCGAGGCAGAAAUGCGUAGUCGAUGGAAAACAGGUUAAUAUUCCUGUACCGGUUGUUACUGCGAUGGGAUGACGGAGAAGGUUAGGUUAGCCAACUGUUGGAUAUGUUGGUUUAAGUGUGUAGGCGUGCUUUAUAGGAAAAUCCGUAGAGCUAAGCUGAGGCAUGAUGACGAGUCUCAAUGGAGACGAAGUAACUGAUACCAGGCUUCCAGGAAAAGUCUCUAAGCUUCAGGUAACAAACGACCGUACCCCAAACCGACACAGGUGGAUGGGAUGAGAAUUCUAAGGCGCUUGAGAGAACUCGGGUGAAGGAACUAGGCAAAAUAGCACCGUAACUUCGGGAGAAGGUGUGCCCUUGUUAGGUGAAGCGACUUGCUCGUGGAGCUGAAGAGGGUUGCAGUGAACUGGUGGCUGCGACUGUUUAUUAAAAACACAGCACUCUGCAAACACGAAAGUGGACGUAUAGGGUGUGACGCCUGCCCGGUGCCGGAAGGUUAAUUGAUGGGGUUAGCGCUUGCGCGAAGCUCUUGAUCGAAGCCCCGGUAAACGGCGGCCGUAACAAUAACGGUCCUAAGGUA